rnacentral:tRNA from 1 species
GGGCCUGUAGCUCAGUUGGUCAGAGCGGCGGACUCAUAAUCCGUUGGUCCCAGGUUCAAGCCCUGGCAGGCCCA